rnacentral:rRNA from 1 species
GUAGGGAAUAUUGGGCAAUGGAGGCAACUCUGACCCAGCCAUGCCGCGUGCAGGAAGACGGUCCUCUGGAUUGUAAACUGCUUUUGAAUGGGAAGAAACGUAGCUUUGCGAAGCUAUUUGACGGUACUAUUAGAAUAAGCACCGGCUAACUCCGUGCCAGCAGCCGCGGUAAUACGGAGGGUGCAAGCGUUAUCCGGAUUUAUUGGGUUUAAAGUGUGCGUAGGCUGCUUUAUAGGUCUGGGGUUAAAGGCGGCAGCUUAACUGUACGCAUGUCCUGGGAACUGGGAAGCUUGAGUGACUUGGAGGUAGCUAGAAUUCCCUGUGUGGCGGUGAAAUGCAUAGAUACGGGGAGGAAUACCGAUUGCGAAGGCAUGUUACUACGAGUAAACUGACGCUGAUGCACGAAAGCGUGGGGAUCAAACAGGAUUAGAUACCCGUGUAGUCC